rnacentral:miRNA from 1 species
UUGGUGUGUGUGUGUGUGUGUGUGCAUGUGUAUGUACACACACACACACACACACACACACAAG